UGACCUCGGAUCAGGUAGGAAUACCCGCUGA
rnacentral:rRNA from 6 species